AACAAUCCAUACAAAAUAAAUUACAGAGAGAAGAGAGUCCUACAAAACUCAGCAAUCAACUAAAUAACCUCAAAGAGAGAGAGAGAGAGAGAGAGAGGAGUCCUUCAAAACCCAACAAUCAACUAAAUAACGCAUACAUCCACAGAGAGGGAGAUAGAGAGAGAGAGCAAGCUACAUAAUGUGAUAACCAAUUAACAGCGAAGAACAGACGAUGAGGUACUCACAUUUCAACUAAAAACAAAAGCCAAAACGGGUGAGGAAAAAAAGAAACAGAGAGAAGACGAAAAGUAAAAAACACACACUAGAUGGCUUUCACAGAGAGACCGAGGGAACCAAAGAAAACAUAGAGAGAGAGAGAGAGAGACGCUAGAAAAGGGAAGAGAGGGAGAGCAACGCUGAAAGCUUCUUGAACUUGUUAGUGCCUCCAGGUGAUCAGGUGGUAUCGGUUACGGGCUUUGUUUUGACCCCAACAGCCAGAUAGCCAUUCGAAACAUGUUUUCAGCAACUUCGUAAAUGAUGCCCAACACCCACCAUGCCCUUUCUCUCCUUCACACGAUCCAUCUUCUGCUUCGUUAGGCAUUUUCAGACAGAGAUAAUUGCAAAGGAGAAAGU
rnacentral:lncRNA from 1 species